UUCUUGUUCAUUGUUGUUUUUGUAAGCUGUAAUUCAAGUGUUAUGAAAUCUAAUUAUACAAGAAAGAUUUGUCUAAAUUCAAAGCAAAAUCCCAAACAUAAUAAUAAAAUUGCUAUACAUCCCCAGCUCAGCUCCUGUGAAUAUUAGUUCUCCGUUCAAAGACUCUCCAUAGGAUUCAAUUUUGACCUAGAAGAAGGUGGCAAAAUGUAUCAUCCCGUAGUGAUAAAACAAUAUGAGUACAAAUGGACUCCAUCCAGUUCUGAUGGAAGUUGUAAACAAUUAAAAGUACAUGAGCUGCAAUGCCCAGAGCUGGUAGCUGAGGACAUUACUGCACGCUUGGGGUAACUCCGGGAACCAGAAAAACAAUUGUUUCACAAUAGGACAUAAAAGCAACAGAAAAUAUUUGUCUCCACAGAGCAGCAGAGUCUUGCCGGGCCGUGUCAUGCGGGGGAUUUUGUGAGUGAUGCGGAAUGGCAGCGGGAAUGGCUCUCGGAAUAGAUUAGCGGGUGACGUCACGCCACAGGCACUAUUUAUCACCGGAAUUUAGCACGAGAUGCAACACAAUGGCUUGAUGAAUGCAUUUUAUGGUUUUCAGCCAAUCAUAAUAAUGGAUCUAUUGACUAAAGUUUUCGAUGCCCUUUGUGUACCCUUCACGGGGAGGAAAAAAAAAAAGAAAAAAAAGAGCAGUGAAAACGGGAGGCUGAAGAGGCUGAGGAUAUGUCAGAAAAUACUUGCCGGGAAGGUUUUCAAAAUUCAGGCCUUCUGUGGAACAGCCUUUUGACCUAAAGCUUCCCCAAUUACGGUUUGAAAUCCCUAAAAGCUAAUUAGGCUCAACCAGAAUAUUUCAAUUGAAUAUUAGAGUAAUAGUAGCUCAGGAAACAAAUGGGAAAUGUCUUUUUUCGCCUGCCUUGGCAGUUUGGAUGGUGAGAUUCUCGUUGCUGGGAUGUUACACUGGUAACUUUGGCAGUGCCAGGUGAGUGUUAAAGUUGGAUGUGUUGGGUUUGGGCGCUGAUGUAGGAGCAGGGGAGGAGAGGGAUUCUCUCUGUUCUGCCUUCACUGUUGGACAGUCAACAGACAAGAAUAAAAACCCCACAGAGCAGACCCCCAACCCCUGGCCUCUUCCUUCCCCAGGAAUGCCUUGUCCCCUCAGGAACUGCCUUUUUGGGCUCCUUUAUUAAUGUUUCUUCCAGGGCACCUUUUUCCUUUGCUGUUAGCAGACAGGGGGGGAGGCAGUGGUUGUCCAUUCUCAGCUUGGUGGUUACAGCAGUUUCCUGGGAGCUGGGAGAUGAAAGAUGGAAUUUAUUUAGGAUGAGGAGGGCUUAGCAGGUUCCCAAAGGGAGGGGAAAAUCUAACUAGCACAAGAUGUCUCCUUAGGGAGGUACUUUGAUUUGGGAGAGAAGGAGGAAACUAAACAGAGCCUCAUCCUCCUUGGACCAAAAGCUUCAUUUCUUUGGAAAUGAAAGGGAAACCUCCUGGAUUUUACCUCUCAACGUGGGCCUGUUUGUAUCCCUUUCAGGCAAAACACUGAAACUCGGGAUUAAUGGCUGAGAUCCUGCUGGAAUGUUUUGCCCAGCAUGGAUAGUGAGUGUACAGAACCAUGUGGGCAGAGCUUUCUAGGAAGGAAUCUUUUGGGAUUUCAUGUAAAGUAAGAAUAUGUUUCCAGAUAACUCUGGGAAUUGAUUUAAGAUUUUAAGUGCCAGCCCCUCUCUGAUGUAUUAAAAUCCACCUGAUUCUUCAUCUCCAGAUACUGUGCUUCCACAAAGGGAUGAUCAAAGGAACGAGUAGGAUAACAGUUCCAGAGCUGCUUCCAAGUUGGAUGGAUGGAAGAGGUUUUCUGAACUUAACUGUGGGAAUUUAAUUGAGUUCCUUGAUGCUGGCAUGGUGGAACUGCUGGACUUGAUGUUGGCACACCAGAGACUCUUGAUCUGAGCUUCUCUCAGUUUGAAAGCUGCUCUCCCGUGCCUGCCUGGCACACAGGGAGCCCCCUCCAGCAUAUGCCACCUCAGCCUCAGGUGCUGGCACAGCCUGAAUCCUCAUCUCCACUUCGUGGACUCCUCGUUAAUCUCUAAGGUUGGAAAAAGAAGUUUCUGAAGUUUAUUAAAAAACCCUCUGAAUUAAUUCUGCCUUUGUGUGGUCAGCCUGUGAGUCUGGAGCACACCUGAACCAAGGAGCAAAUUAAGGUUAAGUGCAGUUUGCCUGAGAAACCAUAACUGCCAUACCUGGGUGCAACAAAGUGUGGAAGCUCUCGAAACCCCAACUCAUUAUUGAGAGAACACAGUUGUGAAGACAGUUGAUGAGAACAGAAGAAGGAGCAGAUGAUGGCACCAAAAACUGCCCUGGAGCUGUGCCUGGUGCAAACAGCAUCCUGUGUGGAGAGGCAGAUCGUGCUCCUGCAAAGUGUGGGACCCACCCGCUCCGCGUUAUCGGAACCGGCUCCUCUCUGGAUUCUUCCCCCUGGGUUGGCUGUGCAGGAUCGGAGCACGUCCCCUCCACGUUCCCUUUGCCGAGUGAGAUCCCAAGUGGAGGAUUCCUGGUGACAGCCAGCGCUACUGCCGGGAUCUGGGAGCUGCCUGCGGGCGCCGAGCUGGAGCAGAGCAAGCAGAGUCAGGAGUGCUCAUAUUGACAGAUCAGCAUGGUGGAUUUUAUGGAGGAUUUCUAUAGCUGAGGGAUAACUGUGAAUUCCCAGGUUCUCCUCUGAUGGUGUCCAUCUCACAGAGCUCUGUUAGGAAGCAGCAAGUGGACCUGGGCCGUGUGAGCACCUGCCAGGAUCUACACUCACGAAGUUCAGGACCAGACUUCUUUUUCAGCCUGAAAUAUUCCUGUUGGGCUCUCAGACACUCAGUGGAGUGAAAGCAAACAUUUUGAAAAUGUGCAGGUGGUAAAACAUUGUCUGCCAUGAACUUCAUGAUGCAAAAAAAAAGAAAGAAGAAAAAGCUGUGGUUUGGAAGCUGCUGGAUAGCAAACUGCAGGCUGGGAAUGUGGCUGCUGAAACCACUGCAAGGAUAACAGGGCAUACACAGGUUGAAGAGAAGAAGGGAAUCUUCCAGGUGGCUGUGUCUUGAAAACCAGGUGCUGCUGUGGUUGCCUCCUGCCCGACUGUGCUGCACUGCUCCAAGGGACUGGCCAGGUGGGUGCAUACAGGAACUCUGCCCCUCAUCCCCCAUCCUUCUUCUGCUCCUCUGCCCCUGCUCAGGCUCUGUUGAGCUGGUGGGAGAUGGUUCUCCUGGCUCCUGAGUGCCCCAACUCCUCCUGCUUGGAAGGGUUGCAGCGAGAGGCCUGUGAGAGGAGCAGCAGGUUUAGGUGGUGCAGAGGUGCCUCAGCACAGACCGCAGUGGUGUCGGGCGAGGGAGCCUGAGGGAGGUGGAGAGGCAGCCCUUGUGUUCUGUCUCUCUGCCAGUUGUCCCAGUGCCCAGAGGGUGUGAUUUGUGAGUGUCCUUUGGCACAGCUGCUCCACUGCCUGUGUAUCUCCGUGCAGGUUUUCCAGGUCAGUUGGUCCGUGGGGUGGUGCCCGUCUUUUAUUUCAAGAGGGACAGAGUUCAGGGGUAGGAUCAGAUGUGUGGAGGGGAUGGCAGCCAGAUGGAGAUAAGUCAGCAUUGUCAAAUUUAUUUCUGGCAUGGGAAAGGUGAGUGUUAGCAAGAAAGAGUAAGUCUGAGAGAUGUCCUUUGAGACAAGGCUGGGAAAAAAAAUCUCUUGGAAUGCAAUUUUGGCCAUACAGCAGUGUGUGGUAAUAUUUUUGGGGCCACAACUUCACCAUCAAUGUUUUCAUAAAUAUAUUUCACACUGACAAUACAUGGAAAUACCUCAUGAGUGCUCAGUGCUCUUUAAAUGCCCUCCUACCACUCCAAGCUGGAUUUGCUCUGGCUUGUGCCACACGUGCCAUCCCUGGUGCCCCACAGGUUUUGUGCCAGGGUGCCACUACUGCACAAACCUGAAGGAGGUUAAGUUUUAAAAUAACCAUUCCUGAGGCUGUAAACCGAUGUGAAGGCAACAAAGUGCUGGAGAUGACUUGUGAUAGUCUCUUUGAAAAUGCUGGGUGCUUUUUCCCUCCAUCUCAUCUCACCUUAAAUGUUUACUAGCAUUAAUACCAGUGACCUCUCACUUCUGCUGCUUUUCAUUAAUGGGGUGUGGUUUGCCUAAUACAACCCUGGGCACUGGCACUGGAAACACUUGCUUUAUUUAAAAAUAAAAACAAAAAAGAGAGAAAAAAAGGGCUCUGAUUACUCAGGUGUCGAAAGAAAAAACUGAGAUGUUGUGCCAGAUGGCUGCAUUUGUGAAGCAGAGUGUAGUCAGAAGGAAAGUGGAAGGAGACAAGGCAACUGUACAUCACAAGUGUGAAAACAUGACCAAAAUACCUUCAGCCUUGUUUCACCAACACUGGAUUAGGAGGCAACUGUGGUGAGAUGCAAGCAAAGAAAAGCAGGAGGGGACACUGUUUGGAAAACAAAAAUGCCUUUCAAUAAUGAACUGCUUUACUUCCUCCAGCAAAAGCUUAGAAGUUUACAAAAAUCAAGAGUUUUUGCAUUAAAUGGAAGGACUGUGGGCCAGUAGAGCAGUGUGUCUGGUGUCAGUGAAAGGCUGCUCGCAGGCUGUGUCAUGGGUUCAGUUUGCAUUAGAGCAGGAUGUGCUGCUGCCAAUCACCAGUAAGUAACCACUGUCCCCAGUGACUGUGACAGUCCCCAGCUCCGUGCCAUGGCUGCAGAUGUCCAGGAAGGGUUUUCCAGUAACACGUGGGAGGUGCUGGAUCUCACCUCAGGCACGUUCACGGCGUGUGCUCAUUGCUUUGCCUGUGCCCACACAAGUGGUACCCAGCAGCCCUGGGUUGCAGUCUGGGGUAGUGUCAGCUCUCAAAAGUGGGGGCUUUUAGUAACACCACAGGCUGGUUUGUGCCUCAGGCUGUUUGGACACGUUGCUCACCUCGUUGAGAAGCUUUAAUCAACUUUUGAUGCCAGGGCAAAGUAUGUGCCGAGACCGUAAAAGCCUUGGCAGGACUGUGGGUGAGUCCCUUUUAUAUCCUGAAAUGGAUCCUGGGUACUUUGAGCUUUGCUUCCAUGCUGAAGCUUUUGGCUGUCACACAGGGAAAAGUUUAGAAUAAUUUGAUCUGAGAUCAGAAAUCCAAAUUUUAUUUUUUUUUCCAUGCUUAAGCUGGCUCUGCCCAGAGUGUUUUGGAGCUCUGUGCUCUCUCCUCCUCUGUGGUUUCUAAGGGGAAAAGGAGAGCUCUGACAUGGGCUCCGAGGGUCACUCUGAAGGCUUGGCCUCUUGUAAAUUGGCCUUGGCUUUGGCCUUGGUUGUAUCUUGCUUUAUAAACUUGAGUUUCAUCACGAGAGUCUGAAAUCCUGGUGUUCUUAGAUUGCAGUUUGAUUAGAACAUCGCAGGAAAAUCUGUGUUAAUUUUUACCAAAACUAUUUCCACAUGGCUGUCUCACCCCCAGCCUCCAAAACUACUUCAACUUUCACAGGUACUUUCUCGCAAUGAACUUUAUCCAAAUAUGUUGAAGGUUGGUUACUAACAACAGGUACAGAGACUGUGGCAGGAACAUCUCUUCCUCUGAUUCCUGCUCUGUUGCUACUAAAUCUUGAAUGCAAAAGUUUCAUUCUUUUAUUUUUAUAAAAUCUGAAUUUCUGUAAUAACUUUGGAUCAAAAGUUUAGUCUCCAUGCCAGGAAGAUGUUGGGUUUUUUUAUUUGCUACAAACUACAUUGUCUUAUUUGGGGAGUAUGUUCACAAUUGAGAAAGAAUUGCCUUUAUUAACAAAUCAAAAGCUUGUGCUGUCAAAACUGAAAUCAUUCUACCUUUUUAUGUGCAAAUUAGAGCUUCUGUCAAACCUUCAGCCAUGGUGCAUUUAAUUUGUGGAAAUAUAAAAAUAUCUGGCUUAAUAUUAAAAUAUUCUGCAAGAGGAAGGAAAUACUUUACAUGAUGCAUUGCAGUCCAGAUUCUCAAAAAAAUCAGAUUUGAAAGAAAUAAAGUGGUGUUUUAAUAGAAUUUAUUUUCCCUACUUUUACCAAAGUUCAGAGCAGUACUUAAAAGUGUAUUUAAGUUAUACAGGUGUUUGAGUAUCUGGUUGGAUCGUGGCUUUGGGAGUGAACCAAGUUAAAUGUAAGUGUGUCCAGGGCAGCAGAGCUACAUCCGCUCUGUUCUUCCUUAGAAAAGGGUCACAAGAUAUAUUUUUUUAUUUUUAAUUAAUGGCAAGGGUACUGAGAAACUUUUGAGUCUGGAUUCAGUAAGUUAGGCUAAAACAUAAAAAGCAACCCCUGGUUUCAUGGUGAUCAUUUGUGUUUUGGAAGGUCUUUGUAGAGACGAUAAAAUUCAGAUUAUCUGAAGUUGGGCACUGGUUCUGUAUUUAGGAUUCCAAAAUAAAGAGCUGCCUGUUUUCCCAGCAGCGCCCGGAUGCUCCACCGUUUGGGAAAGCCAGCAUGGUGGGCCUGGUUGUCCUACUGUUGGCCUGGUUUUGUUGGGAGAACAAGGAAAACCGUGGUCUCCAACUGCAGUGCUGCAAACUGCCUGCAGAACCCCCUUUUCAGUGUCUUCAGCUGCAUUUUGGCUCAUGUUUUUUUUCUAGCAUCCCUGCAGGCUACUUGAUGUUUAAUUCCCAGCUCUCCUUCUAUGACCUGGGAGCCUUUUCCAUGGCUCUGUGGGAGGAGGGGUCCUGUCCAGGCAGGCUGUGUUUGCCCAUAGGUUUUUCCCAAUCAGAUAUUCAAAUAUCCCGGCCUGUCUUUGGGGAGGUUUUAACGGUGCCAAGUCCAUUUUACCUCAUUAUUUCCAAGGCCUGAACCAGGGACAUUUGCCCUUCUGCAGAGCUGAGAGGGGAGUAAGUGGCUGUUUCUUGAGGAGCAGACUCAUUCCCUGAAGUGGCCCGUUACGCUCGGGGCAGUGCUUGCAAUUAUCCUCUGGAAAGGGCCUCCGGAGCAGUGCAUUAGUAUGCGUGUGUCUGGGCUGGCAUGUGCCCGGGAAAUCACAGCCCAGGUGUUGUGUUUCCAGCCACCUGGCCCACUCCAGCACUCACAUGGAAGAGCCCUUCCACCCACACCAGAAUAGUUGUGACCACCCACUUCUCCUGUGCAGAGGGUACAAAAAGUAUUUUAUGAAUCUUAUCAACUGUCAGAAGUUCCUUUUGGGUGGUAAAUGAUUGUCUGCAGGAAUCCAGAGCGCUCGGUCCUCUACUACUUUUAUGCCAAUGUUGUUAGCAAUGCAUAAUUCCACCAUCCUGGGGUUUAAUUUGUCUAAUUCUUCUGGGUCAUCUCUGUAAGGGAGUUUCCACAGGCUGGAUGUGCAGUGCAUUAAAUGUGAAGGUGUUUAUUAGCCCAUUAGCCAUAAUUAAUGGCAAGGCAGCUACCGAGGCCGUGGGUUGUCCCAGGUUUUGCCCACAUUCUCUUUUCAUAUCCACUCCCCAGCAUGAAUUUAUAUGAUGUUCAUAUUCUGCUUCUCACCAUUAGAAACCAACAAAGUGGUUUGGGUUGGGAUCUCCUAUUUCAGGCCAUAAACAUAUGAUCCAGCCACCCCAUAAAGUACAUUCCUCCAGCUUUCCGUGAAUUCUCAAGUAUACCUAUGGCACGCAGGGGAGCUUGGGUCUGGUCCCUCCAGCCAGACAAAAUCCUGCCCAGCAAAGCUGUGAGGCACACUGGGAAUUGCUCAAGUGCUGAAGCUUCACCCAAACCAAGCUGUGCCUUCGUGCUGCAGGCACGUUUCCCAUGGUUUCUGCCAGGAGCCUCUAAAACUCUGGAUGCUGUGCUGUCCCCAUGACCUGCUUCCAUGCAAGGACUCAGGCAAAAAGGUCUCCAGGCUCCAUGGUUUGCGGCCAGAGGGCUGGUGGGAGGCUCAGGCAUGGAGGGGAGGGCACUGGUAAGCCAGGCACCCUGGCUCCCCUGCCAGGAAUGCUGCAGCCUCGUGCACUUGAUCCUUUAAUUGGCCCAUGUGCACGCUGGACAGCUCUCUCUUUAUUAUUGUUAUUAUUAUGCAAUCAGACACUACUUACUUACAGAAUGUGCUGGAGAUGCACUAUUUAUACAGAAACUAUGUACACUGAAACCCAUUUUCUCCAUGGUGAUUGCAGAUAAUGUGGAAAGCUCUGCUUUGAUUCAUUAAUAUAGCAAAAGAGAUAUUCAGGAUUAUUUGGUAUAAUUCACAGCACUUCAAAAUGCAUAUAUUUUCAUAAUACUCUAAAUCUACCUCUUGGGCUGGUAACUCAAGCAGAUGACAACUGGUUUGCCAUAGUGCUGUCAUCUUAAAAUUGUAGUGGUGACAUUUUUUCACUGAAACCUGGAAGCUCAUUUAGCACAGGAUGCCUGAGGAAAGCCCUAGAGAGCCCCCCCAGAGUGAAGGGCUUGGGAAACUGCCAAACUGAGAACUUGUCUUUCACAGAAUCAUAGAAUAGCUUGGGUUGGAAGGAGACCUUGAAGAUCAUCUAGUUCCAACCCCUCAAAAAGUACAACUCCAAAGUGAUGCUCAGAAAAAAAAAGUAAAAGUUUUUAAGUAAUUUUGUUUCUUGAGUUGAAAAAAAUAACCAAUGAGUUAAUUUUAAUGAGUUCAUUUUCAUUAGGAGAAGAGUAUCUUUUAAUUUUUUAUUUUUUUUUUCAAA